rnacentral:rRNA from 1 species
UACGGAGGGUGCGAGCGUUGUCCGGAAUUACUGGGCGUAAAGCGCACGUAGGCGGAUUGUUUAGUCAGGGGUGAAAUCCCGAGGCUCAACCUCGGAACUGCCUUUGAUACUGGCAAUCUCGAGUCCGGAAGAGGUGAGUGGAAUUCCUAGUGUAGAGGUGAAAUUCGUAGAUAUUAGGAAGAACACCAGUGGCGAAGGCGGACUCACUGGUCCGGUACUGACGCUGAGGUGCGAAAGCGUGGGGAGCAAACAGG